CCAGGGGAGUCCUGAGUGGCCUCUGCAGCGGGUGAGAGGAGAAGGCAGACGGCAUGGAGCUGUGCUGGAGACACGGCAGCAUGCAGGACAUUACACAGAUGAAUUUCAUCCAAGACUGCUGCUCACUGGGACACCUGAGACAACAGGCCACACAGAGCCAAAGGGCAGUUGUAAACUGAAAUAGGCAGAGUUGCAACCGGUCUCUCCUUCCUGAUUGCAGUUGAGUGGUAGAAGCCUGAAGAACUCCUGCUGCCCAGGCUGCCAGGAUUUCUCAGAAAGACACCCACAUGAUCACCGUGGUGCUCACAGAAGCCUUUGUUGGGAAGAAGCUCACCCAGCCUGGCAAAGGGAGCAGGAGGGAGAGAAGCCCAUGUGAGUUUUGCAGCUCGGGCCAACUGGGAAUGUAAACCGCACUGACCAAGCAGAGUUGGGGAAGCUGCCAGCAAAUGCAGAAAAAAGGAAAGGAAGGAAGAUGUGGAAAGCAUGAGAGCAUAUGAUCUCGGAUCAAUCCUUCAGCCUCUGGGUGGGACUUAGCUGAAUGAACCAUUGGCAGUGACAUCAGGUUGGAGUGGUGGCUAACAUGCGUGAGGGUCACAGUGCUGAAGAGGAUCAGUGGAGGACACUGUGGGGGGGGCCUGGCUCAGAAACCAGGAGUCUGAUGUUGGAGAAGUGCAGUGAGUUGAGGAAUGGUGCUUCUGCUCUUCCCAGACACACCUAUAGGUCCCCUCAUGCAAUACCUGCUGCCUGCACACCCAGGACUUCUCCUUGGUAGCAAGGCCACGAGGCCAUAGGAACUGCUGCAGGAAGCCCAGUGGCCAGAGCAGCCACAAUGGGCUGUGCCAGAGUUUCCCGAUGUUACCGCUCUGUUCCGAUGAAACACUAUACGUAAAGAUAUAGGCAAAGCAUUAUGCUCACAGCCUUUGCCAACAAGUUAUGUUUUAAUGUAAUUUAACUGUAAUCUCAGAGUGUUUUUGUUAGCUAUAAUUAGUAAAAUAUGUCUGUUUUCUGUGUUCCUUGAAGACGUCUGAACUCCUGCCAGUUCCCUAUAGUUUUCCUGACAUGCAGUGUAACAAGCAGACCACCAAAAUGUAUUUACCAAUAACUGUUUAUUUACAUUCCAUGAAAUCUAAUAACAUUUGCUGCCUUCAUUCGGGAUAAAUGCUGGCCAAAGUGUAAAGC
rnacentral:lncRNA from 7 species